GCGCCCUUGGUGUAGCGGUAACACACAAUCCAGUUCUGCUUUUGUUCCAAACUCCUGAAAUGAUUGGGCCCGGGUUCGACUCCCCGAGAGCGCA